AGAAUCAAGUUCGGCGAUCACUUUACUAAUCUGCCUGAAAGUGAUGUCCAAUUAUUAACUGAAGGAUUUGAGUCUGAAUUUUGGUCCAGCUUCUGGGUUGGAGACAGCGAGUCUAGAGCCAUUGGGAUCAUUGAACCAUUUGUCACGCUGGUAAAUGCCAGGAUCAUUUUCAAAGACGACCUCCUCGUGUUGGCCACAGACUUCAGCCUGUCCUCUAGAACAGACCCACAAGCACCGCCCAUGUAGAAGCUGCACCCCUAUGCUAUGAUCCUAUAACUCUUCAUAUCUUUGCACAAUGUUAACAUAGUUAUCACAUGCGGAAUAGGAAUGCAUUUUUUCUCGAGAACACAAAAGCAAGACCUUUGUUCAAAUAUUUAAUCAAAUUGUAUUCUUCACCAAUUUUUAUCCAGUUGUGUCUAUCAUCAUCAAAUUUAGCCUAGCAUCAUGCAGUUUAGCCUAUCAUCAUCAAAUUUAGCCUAUCAUCAUGCAGUUUAGCUUAUUAUCAUCAAGUUUAGCCUAUCAUCAUGCAGUUUAGCUUAUUAUCAUCAAGUUUAGCCUAUCAGCCAAAUAGAUUACUUCUUUUCUAAUCGUUCCCUCGCAGUUUCCUAAGCUGUUUUUAUUAAUCAGAAAGCGUUUGCUAAAUAAUUUGGUAUCAAUUAACAGAAAAUAAACAUUAAUCAUUACAACAAU